rnacentral:rRNA from 1 species
AAAGGGGGGCCAUCCUAAUACAUGGCAGUCGAACGCACAGCGAAAGGUGCUUGCACCUUUCAAGUGAGUGGCGAACGGGUGAGUAACACGUGGACAACCUGCCUCAAGGCUGGGGAUAACAUUUGGAAACAGAUGCUAAUACCGAAUAAAACUUAGUGUCGCAUGACACAAAGUUAAAAGGCGCUUCGGCGUCACCUAGAGAUGGAUCCGCGGUGCAUUAGUUAGUUGGUGGGGUAAAGGCCUACCAAGACAAUGAUGCAUAGCCGAGUUGAGAGACUGAUCGGCCACAUUGGGACUGAGACACGGCCCAAACUCCUACGGGAGGCUGCAGUAGGGAAUCUUCCACAAUGGGCGAAAGCCUGAUGGAGCAACGCCGCGUGUGUGAUGAAGGCUUUCGGGUCGUAAAGCACUGUUGUAUGGGAAGAACAGCUAGAAUAGGAAAUGAUUUUAGUUUGACGGUACCAUACCAGAAAGGGACGGCUAAAUACGUGCCAGCAGCCGCGGUAAUACGUAUGUCCCGAGCGUUAUCCGGAUUUAUUGGGCGUAAAGCGAGCGCAGACGGUUUAUUAAGUCUGAUGUGAAAGCCCGGAGCUCAACUCCGGAAUGGCAUUGGAAACUGGUUAACUUGAGUGCAGUAGAGGUAAGUGGAACUCCAUGUGUAGCGGUGGAAUGCGUAGAUAUAUGGAAGAACACCAGUGGCGAAGGCGGCUUACUGGACUGCAACUGACGUUGAGGCUCGAAAGUGUGGGUAGCAAACAGGAUUAGAUACCCUGGUAGUCCACACCGUAAACGAUGAACACUAGGUGUUAGGAGGUUUCCGCCUCUUAGUGCCGAAGCUAACGCAUUAAGUGUUCCGCCUGGGGAGUACGACCGCAAGGUUGAAACUCAAAGGAAUUGACGGGGACCCGCACAAGCGGUGGAGCAUGUGGUUUAAUUCGAAGCAACGCGAAGAACCUUACCAGGUCUUGACAUCCUUUGAAGCUUUUAGAGAUAGAAGUGUUCUCUUCGGAGACAAAGUGACAGGGGGGUGCAUGGUCGUCGUCAGCUCGUGUCGUGAGAUGUUGGGUUAAGUCCCGCAACGAGCGCAACCCUUAUUGUUAGUUGCCAGCAUUCAGAUGGGCACUCUAGCGAGACUGCCGGUGACAAACCGGAGGAAGGCGGGGACGACGUCAGAUCAUCAUGCCCCUUAUGACCUGGGCUACCACCGUGCUACAAUGGGCGUAUACAACAAGUUGCCACCCCCGAGGGGGAACUAACCUCUUAA